rnacentral:rRNA from 1 species
AUUUCCGAAUGGGGAAACCCAGCAUGAGUUAUGUCAUGUUAUCGAUAUGUGAAUACAUAGCAUAUCAGAAGGCACACCCGGAGAACUGAAACAUCUUAGUACCCGGAGGAAGAGAAAGAAAAUUCGAUUCCCUUAGUAGCGGCGAGCGAAACGGGAAGAGCCCAAACCAACAAGCUUGCUUGUUGGGGUUGUAGGACACUCUAUACGGAGUUACAAAGGACGACAUUAGACGAAUCAUCUGGAAAGAUGAAUCAAAGAAGGUAAUAAUCCUGUAGUCGAAAAUGUUGUCUCUCUUGAGUGGAUCCUGAGUACGACGGAGCACGUGAAAUUCCGUCGGAAUCUGGGAGGACCAUCUCCUAAGGCUAAAUACUCUCUAGUGACCGAUAGUGAACCAGUACCGUGAGGGAAAGGUGAAAAGCACCCCGGAAGGGGAGUGAAAUAGAACCUGAAACCGUGUGCUUACAAGUAGUCAGAGCCCGUUAAUGGGUGAUGGCGUGCCUUUUGUAGAAUGAACCGGCGAGUUACGAUUUGAUG